rnacentral:rRNA from 1 species
GAUGAACGCUGGCGGCGUGCCUAAUACAUGCAAGUCGAGCGAACGGACGAGAAGCUUGCUUCUCUGAUGUUAGCGGCGGACGGGUGAGUAACACGUGGAUAACCUACCUAUAAGACUGGGAUAACUUCGGGAAACCGGAGCUAAUACCGGAUAAUAUUUUGAACCGCAUGGUUCAAAAGUGAAAGACGGUCUUGCUGUCACUUAUAGAUGGAUCCGCGCUGCAUUAGCUAGUUGGUAAGGUAACGGCUUACCAAGGCAACGAUGCAUAGCCGACCUGAGAGGGUGAUCGGCCACACUGGAACUGAGACACGGUCCAGACUCCUACGGGAGGCAGCAGUAGGGAAUCUUCCGCAAUGGGCGAAAGCCUGACGGAGCAACGCCGCGUGAGUGAUGAAGGUCUUCGGAUCGUAAAACGCUGUUAUUAGGGAAGAACAUAUGUGUAAGUAACUGUGCACAUCUUGACGGAACCUAAUCAGAAAGCCACGGCGAACUACGU